rfam:Dipodomys ordii contig_10213, whole genome shotgun sequence.
GGGAAGGUAGCUCAGUGGUAGAGUGCUUGCCUUGCAUGCAUGAGGCCCUGGGUUUAAUUUCUCAGCACCA